rnacentral:rRNA from 1 species
AGCAGCCGCGGUAAUUCCAGCUCCAAUAGCGUAUAUUAAAGUUGCUGCAGUUAAAAAGCUCGUAGUUGAAUUUCGGGAUCAUCAUGUCGGUCGUGCCUCGGUACGUACUGGCAUCGUUGAUUUCUCCCUUCUGACGAACCAUGAUGUCAUUUAUUUGGUGUUGUGGGGAAUCAGGACUGUUACUUUGAAAAAAUUAGAGUGUUUAAAGCAGGCUCACGCUUGAAUACAUUAGCAUGGAAUAAUGAAAUAGGACGUUUGAUUCUAUUUUGUUGGUUUCUAGGAUCGACGUAAUGAUUAAUAGGGAUAGUUGGGGGCAUUAGUAUUCAAUUGUCAGAGGUGAAAUUCUUGGAUUUAUUGAAGACUAACUACUGCGAAAGCAUUUGCCAAGGAUGUUUUCAUUAAUCAAGAACGAAAGUUAGGGGAUCGAAGACGAUCAGAUACCGUCGUAGUCUUAACCAUAAACUAUGCCGACUAGGGAUCGGAUGAUGUUAAUUUUUUAAUGACUCA